UGUGAAGAAGGCCUUCGGGUUGUAAAGCACUUUUGUCCGGAAAGAAAUCCUUGGCUCUAAUACAGUCGGGGGAUGACGGUACCGGAAGAAUAAGCACCGGCUAACUACGUGCCAGCAGCCGCGGUAAUACGUAGGGUGCAAGCGUUAAUCGGAAUUACUGGGCGUAAAGCGUGCGCAGGCGGUUUGCUAAGACCGAUGUGAAAUCCCCGGGCUCAACCUGGGAACUGCAUUGGUGACUGGCAGGCUAGAGUAUGGCAGAGGGGGGUAGAAUUCCACGUGUAGCAGUGAAAUGCGUAGAGAUGUGGAGGAAUACCGAUGGCGAAGGCAGCCCCCUGGGCCAAUACUGACGCUCAUGCACGAAAGCGUGGGGAGCAAACAGGAUUAGAUACCCUGGUAGUCCACGCCCUAAACGAUGUCAACUAGUUGUUGGGGAUUCAUUUCCUUAGUAACGUAGCUAACGCGUGAAGUUGACCGCCUGGGGAGUACAGUCGCAAGAUUAAAACUCAAAGGAAUUGACGGGGACCCGCACAAGCGGUGGAUGAUGUGGAUUAAUUCGAUGCAACGCGAAAAACCUUACCUACCCUUGACAUGGUCGGAAUCCCGAACAGAUUCGGGAGUGCUCAAAAGAGAACCGGCGCACAAGUGCUGCAUGGCUGUCGUCUUUUCGUGUCCUGAGAUGUUGGGUUAAGUCCCGCGAGAGCGCAGGGGGUGUCCUUAUUAACUACGUAAGACACUCUAAGGAGAGUUCCAGUGACAAACC
rnacentral:rRNA from 1 species